AAGUCGUAACAAGGUUUCCGUAGGUGAACCUGCGGAAGGAUCAUUAUUGAAUAUAAUUGGUAUGAAGACUGUUGCUGACUCGAAAAAAAAUUUAGAGUAUGUGCACGUUUUCUACCAUUUUUUUUUUUCAAUUCACACUGUGCAUCUUGUUAGUAGAUCUGAAUAACUUUCAAGAAAAAGACUUUCUUGGUUUAGAGAAAAUGCUGUAUGUUUACAUAUAAUAUCAGCUUUUCUUGUAUCUUCAGAUCUAUUAAAUACAUUACACUCAAAUGUAGUAUAAGCAUGUUAUUUAAAAGAAACAUCUGUUUCUUUAAAAUAUAAUACAACUUUCAACAACGGAUCUCUUGGCUCUC
rnacentral:misc_RNA from 1 species